UACAGAGGGCGCGAGCGUUGUCCGGAAUCACUGGGCGUAAAGGGCGCGUAGGUGGCGGCAUAAGGCCGCGGUGAAAGUCUGGGGCUCAACCCCAGAUCGGCCGCGGCGACUGUGUCGCUCGAGCACGGUAGAGGCAGAUGGAAUUCCGGGUGUAGCGGUGGAAUGCGUAGAGAUCCGGAAGAACACCAGUGGCGAAGGCGGUCUGCUGGGCCGACACUGACACUGAGAGACGAAAGCUAGGGGAGCGAAUGGG
rnacentral:rRNA from 1 species